GUGGGUAUAGCUCAGCUGGCAGAGCACUGGAUUGUGGCUCCAGGUGUCGUGGGUUCAAAUCCCAUUACCCACCCCA
rnacentral:tRNA from 1 species